rnacentral:lncRNA from 1 species
GUGUGCCUCUGUUUUCUUAUCCAUAAAGUGCAUAUGCUCAGACCACCUACUUCAUAGGGUUGCAAUAAGGAUAAAAUGCAAUAGCAACAGCUGACACUUACUGAGCAUUUUACGCAAAUUAACGCAUUUAAUCCCACAACAACGCAAUGAGGCAGCCCCCGUUUUACAGGUGAGAAAACUGAGGCACAAGGAGGUUAAGUAACUUGUGCAAGAUCAAAUGAUGAAUAAGUGGAGAUGCUGAGAUUUAAACCUGGGUGCUCUGGCCCCCAGGACCUACCCCAUCAGCAGCACACACAGUGUCCAGCACACAGGAAGCCCUAAAUAUAUGCUUGGGUGUAUCCAAAAGUCCCUGUCUGUGCUCUGGGAGAGCUCGUUCCUCUAUCCGCCACUGCAUUCCACAGCCUGUAGAAGCCCUCAAGCCGCCCCGUGAUUUCUGCUAGUUCCAGAGUGGGGUGUGGAGGAAAAGGUGCUUUCAUUAGGCCUGUUUUAUGAGGAUGAGCUGAGGAACCCAGGGCUCACAGAUGAACCAUGCUUUGCCCAAGGGCAUGAAGCCUUUAAAGGCCUAAAAUGAUUUUACACUCCCACCCGCCACAGCUCUGCACAGGGCCUAGAUGACUCUGAUUCUGAGUGAAGUUUCUGGGAGGACAGAGAAGCAUGUUGCUGAGAAGGUGAGGCACUCCAGAGGGAUGGCAGAGCUGGGAGCAAGAUGGACAGAGGGGCCUAGCUGGCUGGCCACUGUCCAAGCCUGGGUCUGUGUCUCCGGCGUGUACCAACGUGUGUGUGUCCUCACGUGGCUGUGGACAAGCACCAGGGAGGUGGGAAGCCAGCAUUGAGCAGCACAGGUCAAGAACUAAACUCCCACCUCCUGAUUCAGGCAGCUCAGAGAGCCAGCUGCUGACAUAGAGGGUGUCUAAGCGCCUGCAGCCAUCAGCCAGCCGUCAUCACAGCCCACCCCCAGGUCAGGAAUCAGCAGCUCCACUCACCUCCUGCCAGCAAGCACUCCCAGGCCAGCUCUGUCACUGGUCGCUGAGCCUUUGGAAAAUGCAACCCUGUCAGCCCUCACUCUGAGGCGAGACGGCUCAUGUUCCAGCAUGUGCACGAGCAUGCCAGCACAUGACGCAUGCACACGUUGUACCCACAGACAUGUUCGCACCUGUGGGCACAAUGCAGACAUGUUCACAGCGAUACACACAGAGCAUAUCCCUGCAGGUCUGCAAAUGUGGACACAUGCCAGCAUGCUAUGCAUGCACGGGAGGCAAGCUCUCAUGUGUGCACUCAUGUUUGUAUUCAGAGCAUGCACAUGCCUGCCAUAGAUAAGUUCUCUGACAUGCAUGUACCUGUGUGUCCACUGGUACUCUUCAAUAAGCAAACAUAUUUUCCCAUUCAGGCAUAUAUUCAUACCCAUUCACUAACAUAUGUGUGUCCCCAGAAACUCCCACUCAAAUAUACAGCACAUAUAUGUGCAUACCCUCAGAUGUACUUCUGUGCAUGAACAUACAACUCCAUGCUCUCAUUCUCAGUCAUAUGCACAUUUGUAUGCACGCACAGGAAAGCAAAUGUAACCUCAGGAACAGUCCAUUACAAACUCCAAAUUCAAAUGCAUCGUCCCACAGAUGCAUUUGUACAUGUGAGGACAUAGGUCUGUGUGUAUGAACAUAAUAUACACGAUCACCUACAAGCACCUAAACAAACAGCCAUCCUCCAACAAAUGCUCAGAUCUGCACCAAGCACUCACACACAUGCAAUGGUAUAUGUGCAUCUGCCUGUCUCCAUGUAGGUUCCUCAACUUCCAGACAAUGUGUCCUCAGGCAUUAACCACCUCUGUCCAUGUGCACCUUUAGGCAGGCCCAGCACAGUUCACUCAUACCCAUGCCCCAUGCGCCUAACUCAACCCCACAGACAAGCACGCACAUAGACACGUGCCUCCAAAACCCAUCUCCCACACGUGUGUGGAGUCAGAUCCCUAUCACGCGGAUGCACACACACCCUCUCUGGGGCACAGCCUGCCCAGCCCCAGAUUGUCAGGUGUGCUGGGGACAGCAGGAAUGGUGCCCACACACAGAAAUCGCCAGUCAUGCAGAAUUGCAUCUGCUGCAAACUUCUCAUCUGCUGUGCAAAUGAUGAUUAAAUGUUAUUGUGCAAGAG